rnacentral:rRNA from 1 species
UACGGGGGGGGGCAAGCGUUGUUCGGAAUUACUGGGCGUAAAGGGCUCGUAGGCGGCCAACUAAGUCGGAUGUGAAAUCCCUGGGCUCAACCCAGGAACUGCGUCCGAUACUGGCAGGCUUGAAUCCGGGAGAGGGAUGCGGAAUUCCAGGUGUAGCGGUGAAAUGCGUAGAUAUCUGGAGGAACACCGGUGGCGAAGGCGGCAUCCUGGACCGGCAUUGACGCUGAGGCGCGAAAGCCAGGGGAGCAAACGGG